rnacentral:ncRNA from 1 species
UGAUUUCCAUAUAAUAAUAAGAAUAAGGCUUAAAGUAUCUACCUGAUACCGUAAAUAUCAGACUAUGGAAAAUUUGAAUAAA